rnacentral:tRNA from 1 species
GCAGAUGUUGUCAGUUACUUCGAUUGGUAAUCGAGAGGUCAUGGGUUCGAAUCCCAUCCGAGGCUA